CAGCAGCCGCGGUAAUACGGAGGGCGCGAGCGUUGUUCGGAAUCACUGGGCGUAAAGCGCGCGCAGGCGGGUGUGCAAGUCGGAAGUGAAAUCCCGGGGCUCAACUCCGGGGCUGCUUCCGAAACUGCGGACCUGGAGACCGGUAGAGGUGGGUGGAAUUCCCGGUGUAGCGGUGGAAUGCGUAGAGAUCGGGAAGAACACCUGUGGCGAAGGCGGCCCACUGGGCCGGAUCUGACGCUGAGGCGCGAAAGCGUGGGGAGCAAACAGGAUUAGAUACCCUGGUAGUCCACGCCGUAAACGAUGGGCACCAGGUGCCGGGGGGAGCGACCCCUUCGGUGCCGCAGCUAACGCGUUAAGUGCCCCGCCUGGGGAGUACGGCCGCAAGGCUGAAACUCAAAG
rnacentral:rRNA from 1 species